UACGUAGGAGGCAAGCGUUGUCCGGAGUUAUUGGGCGUAAAGCGCUCGCAGGCGGCCCGAUGCGUCGUGCGUGAAACACCCCGGCUCAACUGGGGAGGGUCGUGCGAUACGGUCGGGCUUGAGGCCAGUAGGGGGAUGCGGAAUUCCGGGUGUAGUGGUGGAAUGCGUAGAGAUCCGGAGGAACACCAGCGGCGAAGGCGGCAUCCUGGACUGGUACUGACGCUCAUGAGCGAAAGCGUGGGGAGCGAUCCGG
rnacentral:rRNA from 1 species